AGGAGUUGGAAGGAAAUUGUGGGUCAUCUAGUCCAACUCCCUGCUAAAACAGGCUUUCUACCAUAGGUUGCACAGGAAAGCAUCCAGGUGGGUCUUGGAUAUCUCCAGAGAAUACUCCACAACCUCUCUGGGUAGCCUGUACCAGUGCUCUGUCACCCUCACAAGGAUUUCUGGCUGCUGUAAAGCACAUCGGGUCUAGGAAGAAUUUUGAAUCUGGGUGUGGAGGAUCUUCACGCUUGCAAAGGAGUUGUGUACCUAAUUUGGUUAAACAAAUCUUGAAUAAGAGAUCUAAAGAAUAUUGUUGCCUUAUCUGUUACUGAGAUGAGGAUAAAUUAUCUGUAAACCUUUCCAGAUAAUUUGAAUUGAAUGAGCAAAAGAGUUCUUCAACUUCUUGAGAGCAUCUGUCACAUCCCACAUGGGGAAUGAAAUUUGCAAAUCCCUUCAGAUUAAAGUGAAAUGCUACGCAAUGUCAUUUCCUCCUUUUCAAGAAGAGAACAUCAACUUCAAUAGGAUAUUUCUUCAAAACUGUUAUCCUAUAUGCUUUGGUCCUCUCACAAUUAUAUCUACAUAAGCUGUGCAAUUUUAUAAGGAAUUCAGGAGAGAAGAGAAGAGAAGAGAAGAGAAGAGAAGAGAAGAGAAGAGAAGAGAAGAGAAGAGAAGAGAAGAGAAGAGAAGAGAAGAGAAGAGAAGAGAAGAGAAGAGAAGAGAAGAGAAGAGAAGAGAAGAGAAGAGAAGAGAAGAGAAGAGAAGAGAAGAGAAGAGAAGAAUAAAUUCUGUUGACAGUAAAAGAAUAUACAACCUGAAACCUUACAAGAUAAGAAGAGUUACAAUGUAGAAAAUGUUGAGAUAGUAAGAAUGACUCAAUGGUCCAUGAAGAAGUAAAGAUAAUACUGAUCUUCAGAAAAAGUUAGAUACCCCUUUAAUCCCUCACACACAGAAGAUGAGAAGUCAGCACAACUGAAUUUCAGCCAUUUGGAGCAAUGGAGGCUGAUGGUGAGCAUGUGAACAGAUAAGCCUGUAGCAUGCUAAACCUGCUAUCUAUCAUGUAUUAGCUAAUGAAAAGCUAGUGUGUACUGUUAUACAUAUACUGGUGACAAAAUGUCUUUUCACAAAGUAAUAAUAAAAUAUCCAAACAAAUACGUUUAUGAUGGAGGUUUACACUGUGUUCCUAUAUAAGACAUGUAAAUUCAAUAAAACAGUUGAACAUGCCCCUCUUAUCAAUAAUGUGAAACAUGAGCCAGGGUAAUGGCCCAUAGCUCUUUUCCCAUCUCCUUUCUUAACAGGCCAUAUAGACAUAGGUUACGUUAUAGCCCAGACUAUGAAGGCUUACAAGAGAGCUAGAAGUAACCUGAGAUCCUUCCAUUUCUUUGUGGUAUUGUAGUGACCUAGUGAUCUUCCACCUUGGGAAGUCUUUGUGAUUUUUGAUCUGACCAUGGAGCUUUUCAGUGAAAAUAGAAAACUAUGCUUUUGUAUCUUGUAAUUUAUAUCUUCACAGAGGAGGAAUUUCAUCAGUUGACACUGUUAUUCUUAUAGGCUAUUCCCCAGGAGACAGAUAUAAAUCUUCAUGAAGUUUGAAGAGUAGCUUGUAUAUUCUUUGGUUUUCGUUUCAGAGGGUGAUUUAUAAAGAGUAUGCUUAUGAUUGACUAAAUUUUGUUUGUCCUGGUUUAAGUAGGGAAUGAUGAACAACUACUGUACUGAUA
ensembl:lncRNA